ensembl:lncRNA
CCCUCUACCCACUCUGUGCUGGAUCUCUGAGAGAAGUGGCCGUAAUUCACUCUUUGUCCCCUGGGCAACACAGACAACAAACCAUAGACUAAUCCAAGAAGUGAAAAAUAUAUCUGCACAUCUAUUACCCUACAAAGGAGGAGGGGGGGAGUGGCCUGAGACGCGCAGGGCUUCAAUAAAAAGGCUCUUGUGUGGACCUGUGAGGAGCCCAAACUUCCCCCCACUUGGCACCACGCUCUUCUGCUGCCUGCCUGCCUGCCUGCUACUGAAGUCUGCUGGCAAACACAAAAGAAAGGGAGAAGGCAGAAAGAAAGUGAGACAGACACAGAGAGUAAGAGGAACUUGAGGUUUGAAGCUUUGUCCACCUUUUUCAAAAAAAAAAGGAAAAAAGAAAGAAAGAUCUCUGUCCACAAUUGUUUUUUUUUCUUCUUCUUUUUCCAGAGAAGAGGCCCCUGGAAGAAAACAAACCAAACUAAAGAAAACCACACACAAGAGAAGAUGAUUACUCUGCUUUCCCUGGCGAUGCUGGCCCUGAGCCUGGCCCACGGCGUGCACGGACAGGCCGGCAGUGCCGGCAGUGCUGUCUACACCACAGACACUGUUCCGGAGCUCACGGUCAUCACCGAGCCCCCUAGCAUCGUUGCAACCCGGGGAGGCAACCUCACUCUGCCCUGCCGUCUGCACCGCACUUCCACCUUCCACUUCGGCACCUCGGGCAUGAGGGUGAAGUGGACCAAGUACAGCCCCGACCUCGCACAGGAGAAUGACGUGUUCGUGUCCAUGGGCUUCCACAAGAAGGCCUAUGGGGGUUUCCAGGACCGCGCCUUCCUGCGGGAGGCUGACGACAGCGACGCCACCCUCAUCAUCACCGACGUGGGCCUGGACGACUACGGGAAGUACAAGUGCGAGGUCAUUGAUGGCAUGGACGACAACAUUGUGGAGGUGACCGUGGAAUUCCAAGACAAAGCAGGGAUCGUGUUCCCGUACUCCCCACGGCUUGGCCGCUACAACCUGAACUUCCACGAUGGUGAAAAAGCCUGCAUGGACCAGGAUGCUGUGGUGGCCUCCUUCGAGCAGCUGUACGACGCCUGGCAGGCAGGCCUGGACUGGUGCAAUGCUGGCUGGCUGAACGACGGAUCCGUGCAGUACCCCAUCAACAAGCCCAGGGGGCCCUGCGGUGGCACAAAUUCCAAUGCUGGUCUCAGGAAUUACGGCAGACGCGACAAGUUCAGCAGCCGCUUCGAUGUUUUCUGCUUCACUGGCGCCAUUAGAGGACGUUUCUACUGGUUGGUCCAGCCCAACCUGCUGACUUACACCGAGGCUGUGCAGGCCUGCCAGGAGGACGAAGCUGAGAUCGCCAAGGUGGGCCACAUGUAUUCUGCUUGGAAGCUGCAGGGCUAUGACCGCUGCGACGCAGGCUGGCUGGCCGACGGCAGCGUACGCUAUCCCAUCUCUAACCCCAGGAAGAACUGCAGCCCAGACGAGGCUGCCGUGCGCAUGGUCGGAUUCCCUGACAAGAAGCAAAAGCUCUACGGCGUUUACUGCUACAAAGCCCAGUGAGAAUUGGUAACUCAGAUCUUUCCAGGUUUUCGAACAUAACAACCAAAGAGAUAGAAGCAAAUAGAAGCAACAAACACACGUUUAAGUACACAAUGGACUAUUAGCAUGAACUAGCAUUACUCCACCAAAACUGUGAUAACCUUUAUAUUAUAUAUAAAAACUGAGAGUAAAUCUCAGAUACUGUAAAAGAUACUUUCUAUAAUGUAACAUUCCACACAUUUGUUAUUUGUAAACUGCAUCAAAGUUAUGAAAGUUCAUGAAAUAUUGAUAACCUUUCACAUUUUUUAUUUUUUUAUUUGGACGUUUUGUACAACUAUGCAACUGAUAGAAUGAUGGUACAAUGAGAUCAGGCUAGCUAUGAUUAAUUUCUGUGAAUGUGUCAGGGUAGUUCAUUGAAGCACAUGUUAUGUCUUUGAAAUUUAAAAAGCCACUGUUAGAUUCCAAAUUGCCUUUUUUUUUGGUCUGGUCUAUAACUGUCAGUUUCCUUCUUUGCCACUCACAUUCCUCAUGUCCAUUUUUGUUUGACAGCUUUUCAGUGUACUUUUGAAAAUUAUAAACUGUGAUCAUGUGUUUGAUUUAUCUGUUUGAAGUAUAAAAUGAAUGUAUGUGUCAGACUGCCUAUGUCUUUGAUAAGUAGUUGUUCUUCCAUCUUUUAUGGAUAAUCAUAGUUACCAAGUAUCUUUUUAUGCCAUUGUAACUUUCCCUCGAGCUAAUGAUGUUUAGAAAACUUACUUUGUAUUUUCCUUUUUUCUUUUCUUGUGUUCUUUGAUUGUGACGUUGUUUUGUAUUGUGAAAUUACAUUUUUACAUGUCCUCAGACAUAGAUUUAUGUAAGGAUGCCAGAUAAAUGUCCUACAUGGACGCCCCAAGUUGAAUGGUCAAAUUUUUUGUCUAGAGCCAUAAUUAGCUAUUCUGCAAACUAACCCUGAGCUAAAACUCUGUCCAGGCAAUAGUUAGCAUUUGGCCUUCAUAACCUUCACAGCUGCCAUGAAUCGACAAUGUCUCAUGUCUGGCAUGUAAAGUCAUUUCCAUGGUAGAAAACUAAUGUCUGUACAGAAAAACAAUCGCAGCUGUAUCAACACUGGACACUUGCUACCAAUACAGGAAGAAAGGAAUCCCCAAAUAGACAAAUGGACACAUAUUUUGCAAAUAUUUGUCAGCUAUUUGUCCAUGACAAACAUAGUAAAAGAGCUUACUAUGCACUUGGUAGCCAGUUGAAGUCUACCCAAGACCUAGUUGUUUAAGGGUAACAGUGCUUGAAGACUUUUGGGUUAAACCUUGUUGUUGCUAGCACCAUAUCAGUCAUUAGCUCAUACCCCAGUUGUAGGAGACUCUCAGUAGUUUACACAGAGCUUUUUUUGCAAAGUGUCUGUUGGAGUCCCAGAGAGGCUCCAGCACAGAAUGAUGUUUGACACUUCAAGAUGGCUUUUUUUGAUCAAUUUAAAGUUUACAACAAGAGUUUUAAAGAAAAACAAAAACGCAGAGUCUGACUGAGGCAUGAGACAUAACAGGGAAUGAAUCAACAUUUCUGAGAUAUUUUCUUUUUUUAUCAGUGAUAUGUAAAAGAUCAAAUAAUCAUACUUUUGGACUUACAGUGCUGUUGCCACUAGCAACUGUUGUAAAGAGACAGCAGUUGGGUUUGCAUCUUUACAAAACAUGUGACUAAAUCAUACCUAUUUGAAUAAUACUAAAGCCAUCCUGUGUUGUUAUAAUAACCUCAGCUAUUACCACUAAAUGUAGUAGUAGAUCUGGUCAGACACAUAGUAUAAAAUACAUUAGAUUCAAAUUCCCCUUGUUCUGUACCCCACAUGAUGGGGAUAUAUAUAUAUAUAUAUAUAUAUAUAUAUAUAUAUAUAGUGUGUGUGAUUGCUUGGUUUGACUUCGCCAUGAAAACACUGUAUUUGUACUGUCAAUUUCAGUUGUAAAGCCACAAGGAUGUUUGCCCAUAAAUACAUUUCAAAUGUUGUUUUAUGUGCACAAAAUACUCAAAAUGCCGUCCAAAAUAUGUUUCCUUGAUUCCAGUUCCGAACGGAAAAUAAAACCCUUACAUUUGACUUGAGUUAUGAAACU